GUCUACGGCCAUGCUACUCUGAACAAGCCCAAUCCUGUCUGAUCUCAGAAGCUAAGCAGGGUCGGGCCUGGUUAGUACUUGGAUGGGAGACCACUUAGGAAGACCAGGUGCUGUAGGCG
rnacentral:rRNA from 1 species